rnacentral:tRNA from 1 species
GGUAAGGUGGCCGAGUAGGUGGCGGAUUGUAGCCCCGAAGACGGAGGUGAAAGACCUCCCCUUACCA